UCAUGAGAGUAAGUUAUUGACGUUGGAGAGAGGAUUGAUGUAAAAAAAAGAUGAGACACGGAGAGAAUAUAUUAUACAUGGCAUAACCUUAAAGAGUGCCAUUGCAAUUUGAAUGAAAUAAACAUGACAAUAGGAGUUCGUAGAUUGGCAGGUGUGUCAGGGUAUCAAUUUAGGAAUGUUUCUUCCUUUCUAAAUGAUAUCACACCGCCAAUCAAAGUCGGCAUCGUUAACAUGUAAAGUUGAUGAAAGAUGUAACAGAUUCGAAGAACUCUAAAAGGUCCGUUUAAUUGAUAUUGAUUCGUAUUCUAAAUGCGCAACGGAUACUUAACUAAUAUGGCGAGGUACAGGUGUAAUCCUACCGUAUUAUAAUAUAUACACGCCAUACAGGGCCAGCAGGUAGUAUUUAUUUACAUACAGGGACGCAUACAUAGAACAUAGCUUUGCCCAAUACAAAAAAAAAAUACCGUUUAAGGCUCUUAGUGUACCUAGCAACGCUCGCCGUACACACCGAAUCCGGGUGAAGGUCUACGGACACUAGAAGUGGUGCAACUUUCAGACCCAUCAACUAUGAGAAUCGAAUGUUGGUUUUCGACAAAACAAAAAGUAUGACGGUUCCGUGAAUUUUCUAUAGCAGAAAGCGAAUCAAACUUGAAUGUAGUGGAAAGGAAGUCGUACAGUGACAAUCCGAUUAGAAACCAGCCUUAAAGUGCCAUCUACAGGUGUCACAAAAAGUAAAAGGUAAUUUGGUCAGUGGAAGUCGAAAAUAGCUCUUGGCAAUAUACCAGCCGGUUUUCCUACCACGCUUAUCAAAUGCGGCAGCGACUCGAUUAAAUCGAUAAGAUAAUCGAUAUAUCGUUAACGAAAAAGGAAUUACAUUAUCGCUCUCACAUGACGCAUUUCGCGAAGUCUAAGAAUGAUAUUCCGAGGAACGAGUUUAUAGCAUGUGACUCAUAGUACGGUAUAAUGCAUAUAGUAAGUCCCAUAUAACAAGACCCAACAUAACUGAGCGAGUCCCCCGCGACUUCCCGCUUCGCCCCUCGCAAGAUCUUGGUAAUUCCUUUAUAAACCGGUGAAAAAAACGGUGAAAUCGCCGGACGUCGCGUACAUACAAACAGAGCCAAGUCGUGAAAGUUAAUGAGUAUAUAGACAUAGCGAAUCUAUUUUACCGAACGAACUUACUCAUAUUUUACAACAGCGUAACGGUCUCGGCGUUGGUGCGUUUGCGCUGAAAAAUUCGUUCACGGUGUAAACAGUGGGCAUGGCACGGGCUGCUCGCGGGACGGUUUAAAAAUACUCUAUGACAUCACGAAGACGCUUCAGAUAUUUGACGUCACGCAGCAUCAAACGAGUCAAGCCGGACUCACACGAUACCAUAAAUUUGUUGGAGCGCGUCUACGGUAUAGAGUUUAUCCAUUGUGCCUUACUGGGGGAGUUUGUGUACGAGAUAUAAAAUGAAAAUAAGAUUAUCUGUUAUCUUUUUUUUUUUAUAGAAUAAUAUCCUCUAUCGGAAUUCACGAUUAUCAAUCGAGCGUAGGCUUUUGGAAUUGCAACGUGGUUGUAUGUACGAUAUGUUAAUAUGAUUCAUAAAGUGGGCUAAAUAGGAUGUCGCAAAGUGGGGUCAAAUGCGACGACCCUCUAUGCUACAGUGCUGCACUCUGGGUCAAGCGAUCAGAUUCUAAUGGCUUUCUAAUGGUUGUUGACCGAUCGAUACUAAUUGCUCUAUCUUUUUUUUUCUUGGAUAUCGUGUCACGGAACUUGACUAUCUUCAAUGAAGCGGGUAGAGUAAAUAACUAAGAUCAACGAAGUGAACUAGUUCAAUAUGUAUCGUACGCGUAUACAUAAUAACACGAUUAUACUGUCAUCGAUGCUAUACUCAAUUAACUUAGUUUUGUUUGGACAAGAGGUGUAUAAACUUGGUGUAUAAAUUUCGCCUUGAGUGGUGAAAAAAACACGUGGAUCAAAGUUUGACACGAGAAUAGACAUUAUAACAUUUUCUGUGUUACGUUCAGCCAGCACCUUGGACUUUGUUUCGAUCGAUUGUAAUCGAUAAAUUAGAAUAAAAAGUUUAUCGGUCUCUCGAAUUGGAAUAAUUUAAAUAAAACCAAGCGGAUGAACAAUUUAUCGAUAAUUCUGCUCUUUAAUGCCACAAGUGCAUCCAGGUGUUGCAAUGUAAAAAAAAAAAAAACGUCGCGGAAUGUAACGUAAAGUGAAAUCGCUGCACGUGGCAGCCCUGUAAAAACUGGCGUAACCGCCGAUCUAAGAAACGAUCGCGGUUUUUGCGGUUGGCUCUUAUCAGAGCAGUUCCUGAACGUUCUGCUUGUAGGCUCGAGCGCUUAUCUCGGUAUAAUAGCAGAAAAGUAUUUAUGACGAAGCAAAACGAUUAUACACACAGUAAAAAAGACCCCAGAAUAUAUACAAAACGUAAAUAUGAUUUUCUUUUGAAUGCCGUAAGAAAUCCUCGAAGAAAUUCUUAAAAAAAAAAAAAUAUUAUAUGCUAAUAAAAAUGUCGUCGCC